GCACUGCUGAAGAGUCUCAGACUAGGACGAAACAGCUGUCCAGUAC
rfam:Trichobilharzia regenti genome assembly, scaffold: TRE_scaffold0021010